GACGAACGCUGGCGGCGUGCCUAAUACAUGCAAGUCGAGCGAAAAGACGCGGAGCUUGCUCCUCUCACGUUAGCCGAGGGCGGGAGAGUCACGCGUGGAUCACCUACCUAUCAGACGGGUAUCACUUCGGGAAACCGGAGCUAAUACCGGAUAAUAUAUUGAACCGCAGGGGUCAAUGGUAAGAGACGGUUUUGCUGGAACUUAUAGAUGGAUCCGCGCCGCAUGAGCUGGUUGGUAAGGUAACGGCUUACCAAGGCAACGAUGCGUAGCCGACCUGAUAGGGGGGUAGCCCGCCCUGGAGCUGAGCCACGCUCCUGAGUCCUACGGGAGGCAGCAGUCUGGUAUGUGACGCAAUGGUGGGAAGCCUGACGGAGCGAGGCCGCGUGAGUUAUGACGGUCUUCCGAUCGUGAAGCUGUGUUACGAGUUGAGAACAAAUGUGUAAUUUACUAUGCCCGUCUUGACGGUACCUAGUCAGAAAGCCCCGGCUAACUACGUG
rnacentral:rRNA from 1 species